CCUACGAGUGGCAGCAGUGAGGAAUAUUGGUCAAUGGGCGCGAGCCUGAACCAGCCAAGUCGCGUGAGGGAAGACGGUCCUAUGGAUUGUAAACCUCUUUUGUCGGGGAGCAAAAGACGCCACGCGUGGCGUUCCGAGAGUACCCGAAGAAAAAGCAUCGGCUAACUCCGUGCCAGCAGCCGCAGUAAUACGGAGGAUGCGAGCGUUAUCCGGAUUUAUUGGGUUUAAAGGGUGCGCAGGCGGAAGAUCAAGUCAGCGGUAACAUUGAGAGGCUCAACCUCUUCGAGCCGUUGAAACUGGUUUUCUUGAGUGAGUGAGAAGUAUGCGGAAUGCGUGGUGUAGCGGUGAAAUGCAUAGAUAUCACGCAGAACUCCGAUUGCGAAGGCAGCAUACCGGCGCUCAACUGACGCUCAUGCACGAAAGUGUGGGUAUCGAACAGGAUUAGAUACCCUGGUAGUC
rnacentral:rRNA from 1 species